GUCGGGAGUUCCAGCCCCGCGUUGGGUGCAGAGAUGACAUAGAUAAAAAACUUAAAAAAAUAAAAUGAUUGAUGAUCACAGGGUAUUUAUUUUUACUUUGGUAAAAAGGAAUACAUUUUCUGAAACUGGGGGACAGGGGUUAGACCUGUUGGGAUCAAAUGUGUUUGAUGUACUUUCCCAUAUUAGAACUAUACAGGUUUUUUUUUUUUUUUUAAUUAAAAGAACAUUUAAUUUCAUUAUUUUUUUUUAACAUUUAUUUAUUUGGGAGGGAAAGAGAGAAUCCCAAACAGGCUCCACACUGCCAGCGAAGGGCCUGAUGUGGAGCUCAAACCCAAGAACCGUGAGAUCAUGACCUGAGCCGAAACCAAGAGUUGGCUGCCCAGCUGACUGAGUCACCCAGGCACCACCCCUACCCCAAAAUCUUUUAUUGUAGAGAGAGCACAAGGAGGGAAGAGGGGGAGAGAGAGAGAGAGAGAAUCUCAAAUAAGCUUUGAGUAUGGAGCCUGAUACAGGGCUCAAUAUCAUGACCCUGGGAUCAUGACCUGAGCUGAAAUCAAGAGUCAGAAGCUCAACUGACUUAGCCACCCAGGCGCCCCAGAACUGUACAUUUAGAUGUUAUUGUGCUGAUAUUGUUGCCUUAUAAAUAUAGUAGCAAUUAAAAUUAGAAACACUUACAGAGUACCGGGGUGGCUCAGUCGGUUAAGUGUCCGACUUUGGCUCAGGUCAUGAUCUCACAUGUCAUGAGUUUGAGCCCCAGGUUGGGCUCUGUGCUGACAGUUCAGAGACUAGAGCCUACUUCAGAUUCUGUGUCUCCCUCUCUAUCUGCCCCUCUCCUACUCGUGCUCUGUCUCUCUCUCUUAAAAAUAAAUAAACAUUUAAAAAGUUUGAGAAAAAGAAACACAUUAAAAAAAUUCUUCAAGAGUAGUUUUGUGGUAUGUAUUUUUUUUGAGGGAUAUGCUGGAUAUUUUACACGUCAGUUGGAAUUGCCCUUGUAUUCAUUUUUUCUUGGUGCUGAGAAUAGUGUCAGUUGUGUAUUUAUCCACCAUGAACGAUUAAAGACCCUUCUUUUCUUUACAAAAUGUAAAAUUAUUGGUGCACAUACACUCAUAUAUGUAAAAUUUAUAUGCAUAUACAGUGUGAUACCUUAUCUUUGAAACCUGCUUGCCAUAUCCACAGACAUGCACAUUUUACCAUUUAAUACAAAAAUAUGACUAUUGUAUAUCAUUUUUAUGAUGGUUUUCCACUGAUGCAUAUAGCUUACCAACCCAGAUCUUCUUUGAUGAUAGAUUUCACCUCUGAGAGGUAUUCACCAGUGCUCUCAUAAUAUGUGACCAGCACAUUGAUAAAAAGGGAUGUAAAUAUACUACAUUUUGAACUAACUUAUGCAAAUGAAUAUUAAUACAAUAGACAUGUAUGACUGAUAUUUAUCAUAUUAUUUAUUUUAAAAUUGGGAUUUUAAUGUGGAGAAUAUCCAGACUUCCAGAGGGAAUGAAUGGCUGUUGGGUAUUAUCAAGGUAAGUGGAGGAAUUGGAGUCCUUGAGGAGCCAUGACUGCUGCACCUGGUAGCAUUUUAAUGGCAUGUCCUUUGCUGCGUGCCAUCAUGUGACUUGUAAAGAAGUGGGAUUUGUCCUAAGUGUAUACUGAAACAUGUCUUGUGAUUAACAUAACUGGUAACAGGCAACUCAGAGAGGAAAGAUCACUGGCGUUCAGAGGAGAGAGAGAGGGCAAGAGCUGCUGUGUUUAUUUUGCCACGGUCCAUUUAGCCUUUCCUCACUGAGAGUUACUUACCUGUAACCUUGAAUCUCCAGCAGUAUGUUCAGCCACAAAUCUCCACUGUUUAUAACCCUUGUUACCAUUUAGCGUUAUAAAGCAUGUUUAUAGAUGCAUUGAGCCAGACAUUUUCCAUCUGUACUGUGUGGUGUUCCAUAGGAAGCAUUGGAGUGGACUUCUCAACAUUCAUCCUACCCCACAUACUAAGUCUAAGACAGUUGGGCAGUCCUAUCCCCCUGGCCUGAUCGGUUGUACACGAGACCUCUGUAAGAAGUUUCCUCUCCAAAGAGAGAGUCACAGAAAGAAGUGGUGUGGCUCUCCUGCUACCAGCCUGAGGAGGAAGCGUGCACUAAAAUGGCCGAACGGAGAGAUGGAAAGAACAUGGGACUUUGUUGACUCCAGCCGCUGAUUCAAUGAACCCCGAAGCUCUCUCUACAGCAGGACUUCCAUUUAUGUGGAGAUCAUAAAUUUUCUAAUGUUGUUCAAGCCUUUUGAGUUGAGGUUUCUAUUACUUGCAGCUGGAAGCAUCCUCACUGAUGAUCUAUUCUUAAGAAGAAUGACUCAUGGGGAAACAAUCCUCCCAGCUUCUGAUUAACUUUGGCCUCCAGAGAUAAUUAUCUGGGCCAUCAGAUGCAUAAAAAAAUAUGGAGGUCAUAAGAUUAAAAUUUUAGUGGUUACAUUUAGGGAGAGGAGUAGUGGCUGGAAGGGGGUCUGAGAGGGGCUUCUGGAAUGCUAGUGUUUCUUGAUCGGAGUUGUGGUUGUAUGGGUGUGUGUACUUUAAGAUAAAUUCAUCAAACCAUAUAUCUGUGAUUUGUGUACCUUUCUGCAUGUAAGUUGUACUUCAAUUUAAAAAGCUUGCUGAAAAAUACUAUAUUGUAAUCAGGCCUCCAAACAAGCUGUAUCUUGACUGGAAGGAUAUGAAUGGUAUAUUGUGGUCAUUUUUUAGGCAGCUGAAUUAAGCUAGGGACAUGCUUUCUUCUAUAAACUUCCAGAAGCUCACUGUAAUGACCUUGGGUGUGACCAGCCCACUCUAAUCUCAGCCAAAAUGUUUUCCCUUUUGGUUAGGCUGGGAGAGCCUCAAAGCCUUGCAAAGGAAGGGCUUCAUCAUUUUUAGGAUGCAGUCACAAUGAAUAUUAAAAACCCAACUAAAAACUAACAGAGCAGAGUCAGUCCACGAAGGGCUUUGUCAAGCCGCAUUCUCUGAGAGGUAUUUUAGUUAUAGGGGGUCCACUCCAAGGAAACCACUGGGUUUGGAAGAAUGCAGUCACGGACCUCAUGCAGCUGAGGUUAUUGAGAGUUUUAAUUCAUGGAGGAAGAGCUAUAACAUGCUUAGUCAGGUUUUUUGUUUGUUUGGAAGAAAAAAUAUAUGGUCUUUGGGGACCCAAUUAUCUAGAGAAAGACUUGACUCCGCUACAAGAAAACUAGCUAAGGAAAGUUACCAUAAAUCAUGGGUUAGAUGGAUAGUGGAAUUGAAUAAUGUGACAGCAAGACUCUGGGAAUACCAAUCUUCAUGAGGGAGAGGAUUUGAAGAGGGAUCCCAUCAUGAAACUAAAUGGGGAGUAUGGUUGAUUGGUGGUCAGGCCCUUGGAAUUCAAAUUCCUGAGGGAUGUAGAGCCCUGUUCUGUUUGAGCAGCCACAUCGAUCUGCAGAACCGGAGGCUGACAAAAAGAAUGUGGAGACAAUGUAUUUUAUUAUAUUCCACCUAUCUCUUCAGGGUGCUUUCACACCAUUAUAUCCUCACUACCACCUGGUGAUGUAGGUAAGUUAGAACUGAUCCUAAGAGAGACAGUGACUAAGAGAACAGGUUCUAGAGUCACCAAGACCUGGGUUUGGUUCCUGUCUCUGUCUUGCUAGUGGAAUGUUUGUGCAAUCUACAUAGCCUGUGUUUGUGGUUCUCUGCUUCAGAGGACAUUAGGCAACGUGGAGAUAUUUUUGAUUGUCACAACUGGAGGAGGGCCAUUAGCAUCUAGUGGGUAGAGGCCAGGGAUACUGCUCAACAUCCUACAAUGCACAGAACAGCCCCCCACCACAAAGAAUUUUCAGUCCAAAAUGUCAAUAGUGCCACUGUUGAGAAACGCUGGGUCCUAUCUGAUUCUCAGUCUCUUUGUCUGUAGAAUGGGGAUAUCAACAUUAUCUCAUUGGGUUAUUGUGAAGGGUAGAUUAAAUAACAGUUGACAUUGGAUUGUCUGUUCUUCCACCAUCCCUUCCCUCUGUUCAAGGAACUGCCCUCACAGGACUUUACAUCUCUACAGAAUUAGAUUUCUACGGGCUGAAUGCCAAUAACCUGCAGUUCCAUCUAGUUUCAUGAUGUUUGUCCCUAGCAGGCAUUUUGCGUAGUAUGACUCUGCCUCUUUGCCACAGUUGACUGGGUCAGGGGUGGACACUCGAUCCAAACCAAAGCAGUCAGAAUUUUCUCCCCAGGAAACUUUGUAAUUUGCACUGAGAGUCAAGUCUGCUAGGGUCUUGAAUGGAGAAGAUACAAACCUGGGAGUUGUGGGUGGCCAUUUUCUCCCAUGUGGUCGGGGGUGCAGUUUAUAACAAAAGAGAAAAUUGCAACAAUUAUGGAGAGAAAGGCAGCCAGAAGAGACCCAGUUCCCAGAGUCUGUGUCCUGGCUGCUCCCUGCCCUUAGGCCCCGUAGCCCAUUUCUACAUCCUUGUAAGACUUUCUGCUUAACCUGGCUCCGGUUAUGUGUCUCUCAUGUCCAAGAGACACAUAAUAACCACCAAGAACAUACGUAACAGCACUUGGCAUGGUGCCCAGGAAUUAAGCCCCGAAUAAGUGGCAAUUAUUAUUAUCAUCCCAUAUUAGAGAUAAAAAAGUUGACACCGAGAGAUUAAAUAAUUUGUCUCGUCACACAGCUCUUUAGCAGUACAGGUGAUCUGAAAUCCGGGUCUCCUCACAUCUAGACUGAGGUUCUGUUCUGUCUGUUCUUUAAAUUGUGAAAUAAAACUUUCAGAAUAGCGCAUGGGUAGCUAAGUAUCUAGGUGUAGUUAAAAAUAACUCGCAGUGAAUCUUGGUGUAUCUCACCCAGGACAGGAACUAGAAAACUGGCUGUAGCUCGGAAGACCGUCCUGUGCCUCUCCCUGCCACGACUCCCUGCCAGAGGUAACCAAUAUCCUGUUUUUUGUUGAAAUGGCUUUUAAUAGUUUUUUCCACCUACAUGUGCACCCCUAAACUACAUGAUUUAGCUUUACUUGUUUUGGCAUUUAUAAAACGAGACUGUACAUAUUCUUUUGUAACUUUUUAAAAAUUUCGACACUGUAUUUGUGAAGUUCCUCUAUGCUGUUAUGCAUAGUUGUAAUCCGUUUAUUUUCUUUCUUUCUUCCACAGUGGAUUUAUCCAAGCUACUGGUGACGAACAUUAGGUGAUUUCCGAUUUUCAGCCAGUGGUAUUACCAAGGGCAUCCUGGUCUGUAUAUGCUGGUGCAUGUGUGCAGGAAUGUCUCCUGGGUACCUACUUGGAGUGUACCUGUCGUAUCUGAGACUUCCUCUGCUCCACAUACUCGGGGGUUUGGGUUCUUUCCCAGGCACAUGCCAGUACCGGGGCCAGAGGUUGAAGAAAGUACUGUGUAGUGCUGUUGGACACAUAGAGAUUUAAAACAAAGUAUCUUUCCUCAAAAACUGAAACAUAGGGUUACCACAUGGCCCAGAAAUUCCACUCCAAGGUAUCUACCCAAGAGAACUAAAAACAUAUGUUCAUGUUAAAACUUGUACAUGAAUAUUUAUAGCAGCACUAUUCAGAAUAGACAAAAGGCCCAUCAAUUGAUGAAUGGAUAAACACGAUGUGGUCUAUCCAUACAACGGGAUAUUGUUCAGCAUAAAAAGGAAUUAAAUGCUGAUACAUGAGACCACGUUAUGCUAAGUGAAAGAAGCAGGCACGGAAAACCAUAUAUUACAUAAUUCUGCUUACAUGAAGUGUCCAGAAUAGGCAAAUGUAUAGAGACAGGAAGUAGAUUGUGGUUGCCAGGGGCUGGGCGAAGGGGUGAAGUGGGGAGUGACACUUAUGGGUACAGGGUUCCUUUAGGAAGUGAUGAAAAUGUUUUGGCAUUAGUGAUGUUGGUCUCACAGCUUGUGAAUAAACUAAAAGCCACUGAACUAUAGUCCUUAGAAGGGUAAGUUUUAUGGUAUAUGAAUUACAUCUUAAUGAAAAUGUAACUAAAAACAUAGUAUCUUUGCUCAUUCAUUUACUCAAAACACGCGUAUUAUGUACGUAUUAAGUACCUAAGAUAUGCCAGACAUCACUCAGCACAUUGUUGGGAGACAUUGGUCAGUGAGUUAGACGCGGCCCCCAUGUGGGUCAGAACGAUUGUCAGAGAGCAAGUGACACAUUCAAGAGUGGUCACUGAGCAGAGUUUAAUGAAGGGACUGCUUGCAGAAGUAUGGGCAGGGUUAAGAGGUCCCUGGGGAAGUGAGGCAUUUCAGGGUUGGCAACAGACGGCAGCCAUUACCCCCCCCCCCCCCCCCCCCCCCCCCACACACACACACAGGCCUGGAAAGGCAAGGGGAGAAAAGUGGUUCCCGGAACCCAGCAAGAGCUGCAGGAGAAGCUGCGUCACAGAGGCUGUGGCAGAGAGGGGGCCACCUACCCACGGCUCCCUCUCCCGUCUGCUGCUGGCGGGUAUGGGAGUGUGGGCCACUCAGACCCCAUCGGUCAGCCUCCUCAGGCCUAGAGGACAGGGGAGAAGGCUGGAGAGGGACUCUGGAGAAGCAAAUAGAGACUCUCUGUCCUCACGGACUUUACAUUUUCAGUGGAGAGACAUACCAGAAAAAAUAAAAGCAACAGAACGUGAUAAGCAAACAGGCUGACAUGAAAGAGAGCAUCUUGGUGUGUGGGUGUGUGUGUGGGGCGCGGGAAGACGACACUAGAUUUGCUGCCUGGGAAGGUCUUUCCAAGGGGAAGGAGGCGGUGCCGUUUAGCUGGGACCUGAAGAAUGAGCGCCUAGGUGAUUCAAGUGUUAUUUAUUGAGAUGGGGAAGCUCGGAGGAGAAUCAGCUUUAGGGGAGGAAAUCAAGAAUGCCCUCUGGGACAUAUUAAAGACAGAACAUACACCAACAUCGAAAAAUAACAACUCAAGUUGGAGUGUGAAUCCACGGGACUCGGGAGAGGCCACGGCUGCGGGCUGACACCCAGGGCCUACCUCUCGGAAGCCAGGACUUGCGUGGACUGCGCCCUCCCUGAAGGUUACACCAAGUGCUGGCACAGCGCGCUGGCUCGGGGCCUCCCGCCUGCUCCCAGGCCUCCUCCCAGCAUUUAUUGGGACUUUGCCACAUCCCAGGUUCUUCCUUCACGAAGGCGAGAAGGGCCAGGGGAAGGGAGUAUCCUUUCUGAACACCAGACGUGACACAUCGCCUUGACCGGGCAGGAGCUUCAGUGUGAUAGCUAGGGGGGCCACAGGUAGGCCUGCCGACCACGAAGGGUCCAAAACCUACUUGGAAAGGCACCCAGGCCUGUGACUAAUAUGGUGGUGCUUCGGAGCACCCGGAGGGAAAAGCUGGCCCAACAUCCUAGCUGGAGCCAAAUCAAGAAAGACAGCAGGAGAGAAGUGAGUCUACAACUGGCACAUUCUACCUCACCCGGUGGGUCUUGUGGCAUCAGCUGGAGUCCUCCUUCGGGUGCCUCUAGCCCGCACAACUUGGCACAUCUCUGUAUUUUCUUCCAUAGAGGUCUCUCCUCUCUGGCUCCUGGCCCAGCCAGUUGCCCACAGACUGGAAAACAAAGGCUCACUGCCUUCCCUAGAGACCUGGGCUUAAGGGAUGGGCCUUGAGCAGGCUGGGCGGAUGCUCUGUUGAUUUUUUUUCCAAGUGUAGAGAAUGUGACAGCCAAUUCCUGUUGGAAAUGGCUUUUGUUUUCUUUGGAGCACAAAGCACUUUUCCUUUCUCGUGAUUGUUUCAGUUCAGGUCAUGUUUAGGAUGGAGAUGAUUUGCUAACCUAAUUGCUUGCCUUUUAGAUCUGUGGUUCUUAAGCUUUGGGGGCACAGAUCCUACUGCAACCCUGAUAAAAACCAUAGACCCUCUCCCUAAAACACACACACACACACACACACACACACACACACACCCCUCCCAAAUUUAACAUUUAACAUCAAUCCUAGCAGGUUAAGGUCCCUUGGGUUAAGGAAGGUCAGUCCUUCCAACUCCCCCACUCCCAAUCCCCUCUGCCCCCUCUUUCUUUUCAGUCUGGAUCUUAAAAUUCCCUUUCUUUAGCACUUCUCAGGGGCCAGCAUUUCUUGCCUGCUUUCUGCCUGAAUUAAUCCCAGGUGCCCAGCCUGUGAGGAGCAGGGGCCUUCGCUAGCUUCAAGCUGCUUUUGGCUCGGAGGCUCCAGUCCGGUGUCGCUUCAGUUUUUCAGGCAGCAGAAUAUUCCAGUGGGAUUUGUAAAACUUUUGUCUCAUCCGUGCCUAGCUGUUACGGAGGGGCCAGACAGCAAGAGUCUCUGCAGAUUCUAGACGAGGGGGCACAGCUUUGGAUGAGACUAGGGAGACAGGCGUUGUCUGGUUUUGUUAAAUUCCAGAAGCAAGUCACUUUGCCAAAAUUGCCAAAAAUAAAAGGACUGUCUAGACACAUAUUAGAAGCUCUCCUAUGAAGACAGGCCAUCCUGAAGAUCAUGGAUUUAUGCUUAAAUGGUGAGACAAAGGGGGUCAUUUAAGUAACAAACAGGUAUUGUACCUGCUGGUGUUCUAGGCCGGUUCUAGGCGCCUGGGGGGGCGGGGGGCACGUGGUGAAUGAGACAGACAAGGCACCAGAGAACUUUAGGUAGUGACAAGUGCAAGUAUGAAAACAGGAUGAAGUGAUAGAUGUGACCGUGCGGCCGCCACGACGAGAGAAGAUGUCUCUGAGCAGGUGGCACUGGAGCUCCAGCCUGAUGAUUGAGAAGGGAGCAUCCACCGGGAGGAAGCGAGCUCCAGGUGGAGGCAGCGGCCGCUGCAGGGCCUAGAGGCUGGAACGAACUGGUGCGCGCGCAGAGGAAAAGAAAAGCGCUUGUGGACGGCGCGGUCCGAAGUGGGGAGGAAGGAGAGGGGAGGGAAGGAGAGAGGUAGGCGGUGGGCAGAUGACAGUGUGCUUUGUCGGAAAGACGACGAAGGGUCUAGAGCAGGCGUCUGAUGUGAUGUCAUUUGCAGUUUGGGAACGGGCCUCCUGGAGAGAAGCACAUUGGGAGAGAGCGAGAGCGAGCGGAAGUGGAGGCAGCGCGAGGCCGGUCGUGGGGGCCAGACCCCAGGUCCGUUCAGUCCUCCGGAAGUGCCCCUUGCUCUCCUGGUGAAGAUCUGGACGAUGAUGCACCAGUGAAGGAGUGGAGAAUGGACUUUCCAAAGUCCAUGGGCAAACCCAUCACAGAAAUGCAAAGAAGUGAUACAUUCACAUAGAAAAUCUUCCCAUUCUUGCCCUCAUCUGCAGAGACACCCUCUCCGCAUGCUGCAGAUUUUAUUUUUAAUCUUUCCACCCAACGUGGGGCUCAAACUCACAACCCACAACAUCAGGAGGCAUACACCCCACGAUCUGAGCCAGCCAGGCACCCCUAUUUCUAUUUUCUGUAUUUGAAAAUUUUCCAAAUAAACUGUUGGGAGUGGGGGAAUGAACACUAGGCACUUCCAAAUACGUUUGUGGCAGCACUAUUUGUAAUGGCCCCCAAAUGGAAACAAUUUCUAUGCCCAUCAACAGGAGAAGAGAUAAAUCAAUUGCAUUAUAAUCAUAUAAUGGAAUAGUCUACAGCCGUGAGGAUGUAAGAUGGACUGGACGCAACAGUAUGGAUGACCCUCACAAACACAAUGUGAAAUGAAAGAAGUCAGAUGCUAAAGGCACAACUCAUUUGUAUAAAGUACAAAAACAGGCAAAACUAGUCUGAGCUGUUCAAAGUCAGGAUAGUGAUUGCCCUUGGGUGGAGUCAUGAUUGGAGGAGAACAUGACGGGGGCUCCUGGGGUUCCUGACUUGAGUGCAGGUUAUGUGGGUUUGUGAAAAUCCACGUUUCCCUCUGUAUCUACUAUUACUUCAACAAAAAGCUCAAAGAAAUUAGUGUUAGACCUCACUGUUCUUAAAACAGGUUCCUCAGCCUCGCCCCACCUCUGGGAAUUCUGUGCCAGCCAUCUUUCUCCCAUCUCUCUUCUCCCAUUUCCCAGGCUCUGACACGCCUGUCUUCCUCACCUGCCAGGGAAAAACUCAGUGCAGAGGAAUUUAAUUCUCAACCCCUACCCUAGUCGAGGCUCCAGGAUGGAGCCAACUGGAAAAGGCUCAUUCAUGACUUUAUCUAAAUCAAGGAGCCAUGCAGCCCCAAGAUAAAUUCCUUUGCUUCCUGACAACAGUAAUUGCUACAGGCAUUUUUUAAAAGCAAAAUUUGGGGGCGCCUGGGUGGCGCAGUCGGUUAAGCGUCCGACUUCAGCCAGGUCACGAUCUCGCGGUCCGGGAGUUCGAGCCCCGCGUCGGGCUCUGUGCUGACGGCUCAGAGCCUGGAGCCUGUUUCCGAUUCUGUGUCUCCCUCUCUCUCUGCCCCUCCCCCAUUCAUGCUCUGUCUCUCUCUGUCCCAAAAAUAAAUAAACGUUAAAAGCAAGAUUUGUUUUCCCUCUAUAUUGGUGUCUCCAUCUUCCCCUUCUACCACCCUCAGUUUAUCCCUUUCACCCUCUUCUCUUUAAACUGGUAGCGGCAUCUUACUCCCUUCGCCAAAUCUGGAAGCAGUGACUUGCCUUAGAGAUUGUACUAGUGCUUCAGCUCAGGACCAAGAUUCCCUUGGCUGGUAAGUCAACCUCCAGACCCCAGCAAAUGGUCAGGUGUAGGGGUAGAGGUGGUCAACUGGAGGAGGGGAAGGAGAGGCACGGUGGGGGGAAAGGAACCAGGUACAGAAUAGCAACAGGAACCGAUCCCUGUUCUUCCCAAUCUUGCUAUCUGUUGAGAAGUCAAGGUGAGUACACAUCUAAACAAAACAAGGCAACUAUUUAAUUAAGCAUUUCUUCUAUUUAUCUGAUGGGUCAAUUUUCGGUCUUCUUGUUACUUGAUCAGUCAGAAGCAUCUGAUACAAGUGAUUUCUCCUUCUUCCUUGAAACGCUUCUGGGUUGCUUCUUACCUCCUUGUCUGUUCCUUCUUAGUCUCCAGUUGGUUCCUGUUCAUCUCUUUGACCUCUAAAUGUUAGAGUGCCCCAGGACGUGGUCCUCUGACCUCGCCUCUUUAACUGCUUUGACUCCCUGGAUGAUUUCACUCAAUAUUUGUGGCCUAAACAAUACCAUCCACACCCUAAUGACUUCCAUAUUUGUGUUUCCAGCUAGAUCUCUCCCCUGAACUCCACAACUGUGUAUUUAUCCACCUACUCACUUAGAUCUUGAAUAGGCAUCUCAAAUUUAUCAUAUCCAGUACUGAGCUCCUGAUAGCCCUCCUUCAAACUGUUCCCCCACCCUUAUCUCGAUAGAGCGUCCAUCUUCCAGAUGCUCAGGACAAAAACUUGGGUGUCAUUUCUGACUCCUCUCUUUCUCUCACUUCCCAUCUCUAAUCUGUCAGGAAGUCCUACUGAGUUAACAUCAAAAUACGUCAAGAAUCUCACUGCUGUCACCACUGCCCUCCAUCCAAGCUGCCAUCAUUUCUCACUUGGAUUAUAGAUAGCCUCCCGACCUUGUACCCUUUCAGCCUGCUCUCAACACAACCACCAGAGAGACACUAUUAAAAUGCAAGUCUGCUCAAAACCCUCCAGUGGCUUUCCAUUUCACUCAGAAUGAGUGCCAACACCCUGGCAGUGGCCUGCGAGGCUCCGGAGCCUGUCCUCUUCUUCCCUCUCACUUCAUCUGCAACUGCUCUUCCCUCACUCACUCUAUUCCAGCCACACUGGCCUCCUUGUUGUUCCUGGAACAUACCAGGCACGCUCCUGCCCCAGUGCCUUUGCAGCUGCCCUUCCAUUUCAAAUGCCCUUGCCCCACACGGCCGUUCUCAUGUCUAUAGAUCUUAAGUCUGGUACUAUUUUCUCAGCAAGGCCCACCCUUGCCACCCUGCCUGAAAGUCUACACUUUCUCAGAUAUUCUCAAUCUUCUUUCUCUUUCUUAUUUCUCUCUUUAACACUUACUGUCACCUACUAUGCAUAUAGUGUCAUGUACUUAUACUCUUUUUUUUUUUUUUAAUGUUGAUUUAUUUUUGAGAGAAAGAGAGAGCAUGCAUGUGCAAGCAGGGA